UGUGAAAUUGAUUAAUAUUAAAGGUGAAAGAAAAGGGUCCAUGGCCCAACCCAAUUUCUGGAUCACAAUAUGAAAAGUUAAGGCAAUAGAACAUUGCCUUUUAUAGGAAAAUACCCUAAGUUGCCGCAGCUACCCGGUUGAGUAAGGGAAGCUUUCUGCAACUCAAGGAAUACCAAAUACUUACAAUUCUUCUUUUAGGAUUUAAAUAUGGGAGCUUCAUAAAGGGAAUUAGGGAUGGAGUUUUGGCAGCAAACCUUGUGCUUUAGUUCAUUAUGAAAGAAGCAAUUAUAACUCCAUCAAAAGAAAAUGAUCGAAGCAAUUGCAAAGGGUAUUUUGGGGUUAAUCUAUGGUGGCAUUAAGAGGAAAUAUAGCUGGUAUUGUAUUCAUACCAGUGGAAUAAUUUGUUUAGAGAUGUUAUCGGAGGAAGAGGCACCUACUCCGGUCAACAAAAGAGGAUAAGAGAAAUCUUUCAGUAUUAGCCGCAAUUAUAAGCAUUGACAUCGUGAAUAACAUAUCAGAUGACUUGGUGAGCAGCGAGUUUGAGCUGGGUAGCUUUGAGGUAAGUUGUAAGGAUUACUCUCCUAAUAGGAAUUCCAUUAGAGCGAACAUGCUUCAAUGUAUUCGAUGAAAUUUCUAAGCCAUAUCUGUUUAUUUUCAGGUACUUAGUUUACUCUAUUCUUAUUUAGUAUGACUUUAAAUACAAUGUGUCAGUCUUAUAUAUGCUUAUAUGUAUUAUUAUUUGCUGUGUGCCUUUGGUUGUGAUAUUUAUAUUUGUUUCAACACUCAUUUAUGCGUUAAUGUGAUCACAUUCAGAAGAGAGAGCUAGCCGACCUCCCCUUGCGUGAGUGCUUUGAUGCCAGGGUUAGCUAUCCCACGCUCGUAGGGGCAAUUAUGUGCUGGGGAGAUAGGUCGACACUCCCCCGUACGUGUUGCUAGAUCUCACGUACGUAGGGCCACUAUGUAUAACUAUUUUCCAGAAAUGUUAUUUCUUUGAAACUUACUUAGUUUCCAGCUUCACUUUCAUGAGUUAAUAGUUAUAAACUCAGUUUCCAUGUUUUCAGUUAUCAACUUACAAUUUUGCUUAUAGUUUCAGUUUCUAGCUCAUUUAUUGUUUACAGAAUUUAUUGCCAUGAUAUUAUCUGAACCCCCUUCCUUUCAUUUUAUGAUUUUCCCAGAAAAUCUUGCUCUAUCUUUUAGGGGUAGCCACUGAGAUUUACUGGGUAUCCUUUGGUGGUACUUAGCCUGAUUGGGCCUGCCACGUUGUGUGGCAGGUGUUGAGAUUGUAGGUGACGAGAUACGUGGCUAGAGACAGACUCCGUAGACUCAGUUGGCGAGCCCUGUUAGUUUUUCAUUGGUGGUCGGAUUUCUUCAGCUUAUGUUAUUUUUUUUGGCACAUUAUUUAUUCAAUGCGUUAUAGUUAAUGUAUUCAAAUUUAAAUCAUUAGAGGCUCAUGACUUAGUUUAGUGAGUUAUGGUUCAGAGCUCAACUGUGUUAGAAUCAUGUAACUUAGUUAUCAGAUAAUUGAUUUAAUGUAGUUUUAGUUAUUUAAAUUUGUUGCACUUAAUGAUAUUUAUGGUAUUUACACUCGACAGGGAUUAAUUACGGGUUCUCUCGACGACCAGUUAGAAUUGGGUGCCAAUCACAUUCCACUAAGUUUGGGGGCGUGACACAUUUAGUCUCCAUCUCACUCAAAAAGAUCUUUUUUACUCGCUCAAGACUCAUAUCUUAAGAUGGCUCUGAAAUCAAUUAUUGAUUUUUUAAAAAAGUUGAGAGUAUACAUGAAAUAACAA
rnacentral:lncRNA from 1 species